rnacentral:rRNA from 1 species
CUGGNAGNGGGGGACAACGUUUCGAAAGGAACGCUAAUACCGCAUACGUCCUACGGGAGAAAGCAGGGGACCUUCGGGCCUUGCGCUAUCAGAUGAGCCUAGGUCGGAUUAGCUAGUUGGUGAGGUAAUGGCUCACCAAGGCGACGAUCCGUAACUGGUCUGAGAGGAUGAUCAGUCACACUGGAACUGAGACACGGUCCAGACUCCUACGGGAGGCAGCAGUGGGGAAUAUUGGACAAUGGGCGAAAGCCUGAUCCAGCCAUGCCGCGUGUGUGAAGAAGGUCUUCGGAUUGUAAAGCACUUUAAGUUGGGAGGAAGGGUUGUAGAUUAAUACUCUGCAAUUUUGACGUUACCGACAGAAUAAGCACCGGCUAACUCUGUGCCAGCAGCCGCGGUAAUACAGAGGGUGCAAGCGUUAAUCGGAAUUACUGGGCGUAAAGCGCGCGUAGGUGGUUCGUUAAGUUGGAUGUGAAAUCCCCGGGCUCAACCUGGGAACUGCAUUCAAAACUGUCGAGCUAGAGUAUGGUAGAGGGUGGUGGAAUUUCCUGUGUAGCGGUGAAAUGCGUAGAA